GAUGAACGCUGGCGGCGUGCCUAAUACAUGCAAGUCGAGCGAACAGACGAGGAGCUUGCUCCUCUGACGUUAGCGGCGGACGGGUGAGUAACACGUGGAUAACCUACCUAUAAGACUGGGAUAACUUCGGGAAACCGGAGCUAAUACCGGAUAAUAUAUUGAACCGCAUGGUUCAAUAGUGAAAGACGGUUUUGCUGUCACUUAUAGAUGGAUCCGCGCCGCAUUAGCUAGUUGGUAAGGUAACGGCUUACCAAGGCGACGAUGCGUAGCCGACCUGAGAGGGUGAUCGGCCACACUGGAACUGAGACACGGUCCAGACUCCUACGGGAGGCAGCAGUAGGGAAUCUUCCGCAAUGUGCGAAAGCCUGACGGAGCAACGCCGCGUGAGUGAUGAAGGUCUUCGGAUCGUAAAACUCUGUUAUUAGGGAAGAACAAAUGUGUAAGUAACUAUGCACGUCUUGACGGUACCUAAUCAGAAAGCCACGGCUAACUACGUG
rnacentral:rRNA from 1 species